rnacentral:rRNA from 1 species
AUGCGUUCAUUGGCUGGGUUGCCUGUCUUCGCGUGCAAAAAGCAUUGCCCACUCCGCUCCACGCGCCCAAUCCCAUCUUCUCCCGUCUCGUUCCACACCAGCCGCCACACAACCCUAGCCCCUUUCCCAUCGAUCCCCACAGCCCCUCCCUCCUUCUCGCUCCUCGCCAUGGCCGAUUCCCACAGCCCCUCCCUCCUGCUCGCUCCUCGCCAUGGCCUCCGCCCUUGGAGCCUCGCCAUGGCCUCCUACUCCCCCUCCACCACCGUACGUGCACACAGACGGCGGUGCCGGAGAAGAGCAGCUCCAGUCAUGGUGGGGUGCAGCUGCGCCGGGGAUGAAGGAGGUCCGCCGCCUGUCUUUGUCUCCUUGCUGCGUCCUUUGUUGCCAAUCCUCCCCUCUCCAUUAGCCCCUAGCAGCGCAACAGUCUGGGACAAGGGGAAGGAGCAGGUCAACCCGACUCCAUCUCUCUGCACGAGGACUAGAGGAGCAGGUGGCGAGGGAAGCCGGCACGGCCAGCGGCGGCGCUGCACAGGGACGGAUAAGAUCUGGUGCGGGAGUGCCAUUUAUGUGGUGCAGGAGAAUGUCGAUGUUAAAGCAUUUGGUUUUGAUGGAUCAUAUUAUUGGUUCUCUGUUCAACUGAAGAUGUCUUCAGAUAGGACUAAGAUGUUGAUGCUGUUUGAGACGCCCGCUGGAUUCACCCUUUUCAAGGUUAUGAACAUGGGCAAGCUCGACAAGGUCCAGUACACACACAUUGUAGCAAUAAGUUGUUAA